UACAGGGGGGGCAAGCGUCGUUCGGAAUUACUGGGCGUAAAGGGCUCGUAGGCGGCCAACUAAGUCACACGUGAAAUCCCCAGGCUUAACCUGGGAACUGCGUGUGAUACUGGAUGGCUUGAAUUCGGGAGAGGGAUGCAGAAUUCCAGGUGUAGCGGUGAAAUGCGUAGAUAUCUGGAGGAAUACCGGUGGCGAAGGCGGCAUCCUGGACCGACAUUGACGCUGAGGAGCGAAAGCUAGGGGAGCAAACGGG
rnacentral:rRNA from 1 species